rnacentral:sRNA from 1 species
AGACCCACCGAGGACAGCUCAGCAGGGCUGAGGAACACUCUGCUGCUCAGGCCCCCGACUGAUAAGUGAUUGAGACUGUCUGUGAAUCAUGGAUACUUGGACAUGCUGAGCCUGGGGAAGAAUCACCCUGGACUGAUGCCCGAACCGAAUAGGCCUGAUCCAGCUGGCCUUUCCAGGUCUCAAGUACAAACCGAUGGCACGGAUCUCUCUGGACACCACAGGGAUGUGGAGGCGAGAGUGAAGUCUUGGAGCACACAGAUGAUACUUCAAGUCCUGAUUCUGCCACUUGCUCAGUGGGUGACCUUGGAGAUGGAAUUUCACCAUGUUGCCCGGGCUUGUCUCGAACUCCUGAGCUCAAGUGAUCUGCCUGCCCGCCUCAGCCUCCCAAAGUGCUAGGAUUACAGAUGAAUGGAAAAAACGAUGGGUGCAGUCUAAACAUCAGCCAGAUUAUGGUAAAUUUCAGCUCGCUGCAGGAAAAUUUUAUGGAGACAAAGAAAAAGAUAAAGGUCUCCAAACCAGUGAACAUGCCAAGUUUUAUGCCUUCUCAACCAGGUUGAAGCAUUCAGCAAUGAGAAUGAGACCUUGGUGUUUCAGUUUUCAGUAAAACACAAGCAAAGGAAGUAUUGUGGUGGCGGAUAUGUAAAACUCUUUCCUGCCACCCUGAACCAGGAGGAUAUGCACUCAGGACCCAAGUAUUACAUCAUGUUUGGCCCUGACGUUUGUGGCUUUGGCAACAACAAAGUACAGGUCAUCCCUCAUUACCGAGAGAAAUACCAUGAGAACAAGACCAUCAAGUGCAGGGUGAGUGUGUGCUGGUCCUCAGCCAAGGGGGAAGGAGAUGCAUUUUAUAUGUGUUAUCUCAUUUAAUUCUUACAAAAUCCUAUAAAUUAAAUACUGUCAUCUCCAUUUUACAGGUUAAAAAGUAGAUCUAGAGAAAUGCUGUAAAUUGCAGGAUUUCAUAAAGGAGCAGUUGAUCCAAAAGCCUAAGAAGUUAUAUGAGGUCCUCCUGUGGAACAAUGCUUGGCAUAGCCCAGUUCCCCACUGCUAGACAUGGGAGAGGAUGGGGGAGGGAGGGAGUGUUGGACUUAGAAAUGGGGAUGGGGAGUCAGUUUAUCAUAGUAACAUCAAGUUAGAGACACCUAGGUUGGCUAGAGGAUAGUAGGUGGAUUUCAUCAGCAACUCAACAGGGAUUCAAAUACUAACUCUGUGUUGGGCCUUAGGCUGGGGACAGAGUGGGCCAGACAUGGCCUUUGACUUCACAGAACUCACAGUCAAUGAAGGUAAGAGUCAAGCAAAGUGACUACCUAGUAUGCUGGGCAUCUGUGGGAGCACAGAAGAGGACCCCUACCCAACCUGGAGGCUAAGGAAAUACUUCUUAGAUCAAUAAAGACCCUCACCUGUACACUCUGAUUAUUCGCCCCAAUGCUACUUAUGAGGUUAAAAUUGACAACCAGCAGGUGGCAGCUGGGGCUCUGGAGGAGGACUGGGACUUCUUGCCUCCCAGGAAAAUAAAAGACCCUAUGCCCAGAAACCAAAGAAAUGGGAUGAACGCCUGCACAUAGAGGAUCUGGAAGACAAGAAACCUGAGAUCAGAGGGCAUUUGGCUGGGAAGCAGGUGGGAUCUCAGCUGUGGAGAUAGGAGAAGGAGGCUGGGAAUGAUGGAGCAGAGACUGGGGACAUCAAUCCCUCAAGGUGGUGUUCAGCUAGAUAUUGUUUUCCAAAGAGGCAUGGAGGGAAGAGGGCAGCCAUUCACCUUUGUUGGGGAUCCAGCAGCCUCUGUGAACAAUGUGUUAUGAUCCCUCUUUUGUGGAUAAGGAAACUGAUGCUUAGAAAAUGAAGUAACUUGCCCAAGCAAAUAUGUGUUAGAACCAAGAUUUGAACCUACAUCUUUUUGACUCUUAAGUUAUCAAUAUGGGGAAUGUGUGGAGUAUACUCAUUGGCUCAUUAUUAUACUCAUUGGCUCAUUAUUAUUAUUCUGGGAAGCUGUACUGGAUAUAGCUAUGAAUAGAACAACCCUUGCCCUCUAGGGAUUCUGAAUAUAGUAAGGGAGGCAGAUAAGAAAACAAAGAUCAAAAUAUGUGAUCAGUGCUGAGAGCCAGGGAGGCAAGCCAGUGAGAGCCCAAAAGCGGAUCCCAGCCCAGCCUGAGUUGAGGUGUAGGCAGUGGUCUGAGAAAGAGAAGGAAAUGCUUGAGUGAGUGAGUUACCCUAAGAGUUGGAAACAUAAACUCUGGGGUCAGGCUGAUAUGGGUUUGAGCACCACCUUUUUCUAACUAUGGGACCCCAUCCUACUAGCAGUUAACUCUGCACAAGGAAUAUAACUGCUGUGAAAGUCAACUUCACAAACAGGGAUUAUUUUAAUACUUACCUGUGAAGGUUACUGUGA